ensembl:lncRNA
GUGACAAUCAGAGAAGAUUGUGUGUAUCACCGGAUCGGCUUCAGACACUGAGGUGGUACCCUCCGUGAGUGGGUUUUAAUGCCAAGUGAUGACGUGAUGCCACGGUCACAGGCUGUUCUCGGACUCCCGACCUCCCACAUAAACCAACUAAAGUCACCCAAAGGAAGACAGGCCGGGAAGCCUAGGAACCAGACAGUGCCAGGUCAGCAUAGGCCACCUCUGCAAGCAACACUGAGGACGACUAGUCCUCUUCCUACUGAUGAGUUGAAUGUUGUCGCCCAAAGAGUUAUGGAAACAAGUUGAAAACCUUACUGAAAAGCACUAAAGAAAACCUCAAUAAACGAAGCACCACAUCACUCUCA